AAACCAUGUGAUGAUUUUGGAUUCUUAUAUUCUCACGACGGUCGUCUGAGAUUUUCAUUGAUGAAAUGAUCCUUUAUUUCUGAUGGUU